ensembl:lncRNA
CGUCCGUGUUCCCACCACCCACCGCUGGCACUGGGAACCCGCUUUUCACGCUCCACACUGCAUUACCGAUAAAAUGGCUCAGAUCUUGGUUGAUGCGGAGGAGUGAAGGUGGAUUCUUUACCAUCGGUGCCACGAGGGAAGCCCACAGGCAACAGUUUCUGCAAGAACCCCCUGGUCAGUGAAGUGCUCGCCUACGAGACGACAUCUGCAGGCCGCUCAGGCAGGGCCCUCUGAAACGGCUGCCAUCACCGCGUCCUGGCCGCGUGGACUCAGUUGCCAAGAGUCUGAGGAUGGAAGCUAAGCUGGAG